AACAUCGCGCACCUGCGGGAACCUGCGGAAGGAUCAUUACAGAGUUGCAAAACUCCCUAAACCAUUGUGAACGUUACCUAAACCGUUGCUUCGGCGGGCGGCCCGGGUCCUUCCCGGCGCCCAUCGGCCCUCGCGGGCGCCCGCCGGAGGUAAGCCAAACUAUUGCAUUGUAUGGCCUCUCUGAGUCUUCUGUACUGAAUAAGUCAAAACUUUUAACAAUGGAUCUCAGAUCGGAAGAGC
rnacentral:misc_RNA from 1 species